rnacentral:rRNA from 1 species
GUGCUUAACACAUGCAGUGGAGCGAGAAACCGGGACUUGCCCGGGGGUGCAGAGCGGCGAACGGGUGAGUACACUGUGGGUAACCUCACCUCGAUGACCGGGACAACUCGAGGAAACUCGGGCUAAAUACCGGAUGUGAUGACUCUCUCAUAAGGAGCAGUUCAGGAAAGAUAGCUUCGGCCUUCGCAUCGAGACGGGCCCUGCAGGCCCGAUUAGCGUUGUUGAGUGGGGUAAUGGCCUACCAAGGGUUCGAUGGGUAGCUGGUCUGAGAGGACGAUCAGCCACACCUGGGACUGAGAACACUGGCCCAGACUCCUACGGGAGGCAGACAGUGGGGAAUCGUUGCACAAUGCGCGAAAGCGUGAUGCA